CAGCUAAGAGGUGGGAACGGCUACCCCACGCACCGGAAACGGUAAGUAAGCCCGCAAGGGUCCAAGAGAUGAGUGUUAGCAAGCUCCUUAGUUA
rnacentral:ncRNA from 1 species